rnacentral:rRNA from 1 species
AGCGCAGGCGGGAAGACAAGUUGGAAGUGAAAACCAUGGGCUCAACCCAUGAAUUGCUUUCAAAACUGUUUUUCUUGAGUAGUGCAGAGGUAGAUGGAAUUCCCGGUGUAGCGGUGGAAUUCGUAGAUAUCGGGAGGAACACCAGUGGCGAAGGCGGUCUACUGGGCACCAACUGACGCUGAGGCUCGAAAGCAUGGGUAGCAAACA